AUCAAGAUUACUGAGCAAAAAGAAAAUGUUAUUUUUCUGGCAAUAAAUGCUAGUAGAAAUUGAUUUCUUGGAUUCUUAUAUAAGGGUCAUUUAAACAACUCAUAUGCAACUUUCAAUAACUUCACCUGAAAUUAUAUUGCAGAAAUAGAGCUUAAAAUAUGCAGAGGAAGGGUUAACAUAUCUUUUUUCAAUAUCUGUUUUGUAAAUUGGCUUUUAAUAGGUGCUGGACAACAUGCGUUCAAAUUUUUAACUUCCCAAUGAAGACCUGAAGUGAUGAAAUUGAUAUUUUGUCUGGAAAGCUUGUAUAUGUGCCCAAAGAGAGAGCCAUUCCAACCCAUAGAGUUCCUGAAUCGAUCUUGCCUGAAGUAGAAAGUACUUGAGCUACUCCAGCCCUCAUCAUCUUUCUUAAGAGAGAAGGAGGAAGAUAGACCACAGUGAGUAAGGAUGGGUCAGGGUAGUUUAGAAUGAAGGAUAGGAUCUUUGGAAGUCUCUGUGGUUCCUGAACUGACCUUGCUCUCUUUUUGGCCCAGAAUACAGGAUCCCUGGAACCAGCAGACCAAGUUCAAGCUUCUCUUGUCAAUUCUGUUGUGCUACAAUUCUUUCCAUUUAUGUUUUGCAGUCACAGAGACACACCCAUUAAGCCAGGUUUCAAUGAAGAAAACUAGCCAAUCCAGUUACGACAUCAUCAUUGGUGGUGUUAAUAUGGAGACAGUUGCCUUCUUGUUACUCAAUAGGGUGAGACUUUGAAAGAGGCUUGGGCAUGUGCGUGGAGCCAAUGUGUCUGGCUUCAGCCACCUCCUUCUCUCACAUUGCCAAACAAAUAGAAGCAAAGAAACCAUCUCCUUAUUGUUCUCUUGCAUAAAUAGGCCAGCUGCCCAUGGGGGGAGGGUAGCGUCUACGCAUUUUAUGUGACCUGCUAUGGAAGGGUGGAGUUACUGUCUCAAAAUUCCUGCUGCUGAGAAUGGGGGAAAGGGACACUACCAACUAACUAAAGUAAAAGAAAAAGAACUCACCUGCAGACCUGCCAACUGCUGUUAACAGGAAAGAAUGCUAGAACAUUCGCUGCUAGCAAGGAGAACUGCAGCAAAUGCAGUUCAGACCACCAUGGGAGACUUGAAAAUUGGCAGCUCCUCA
rnacentral:lncRNA from 1 species